ACGAACGCUGGCGGCGUGCUUAACACAUGCAAGUCGAACGAAAGGACGGGAAGAGCUUGCUCUUUCCGGAAUUGAGUGGCAAACGGGUGAGUAACACGUAACAACCUGCCUUCAGGAUGGGGACAACAGACGGAAACGACUGCUAAUACCGAAUAAGUUCCAAGAGCCGCAUGGCCCAUGGAAGAAAAGGUGGCCUCUACCUGUAAGCUAUCGCCUGAAGAGGGGUUUGCGUCUGAUUAGCUGGUUGGAGGGGUAACGGCCCACCAAGGCGACGAUCAGUAGCCGGUCUGAGAGGAUGAACGGCCACACUGGAACUGAGACACGGUCCAGACUCCUACGGGAGGCAGCAGUGGGGAAUCUUCCGCAAUGGGCGAAAGCCUGACGGAGCAACGCCGCGUGAGUGAUGACGGCCUUCGGGUUGUAAAACUCUGUGAUCCGGGACGAAAAGGCAGAGUGCGAAGAACAAACUGCAUUGACGGUACCGGAAAAGCAAGCCACGGCUAACUACGUG
rnacentral:rRNA from 1 species